rnacentral:rRNA from 1 species
AGCUCCAAUAGCGUAUAUUAAAGUUGCUGCAGUUAAAAAGCUCGUAGUUGCAUUUCCGAGGCAAGGGAUUAGUCCGACCUUUGGUGGGUAUUUAAUCCUCUUGCCUCGUCCUUGAGUGGUGCUUCUUGGUAUUAAGUUAUCGAGGAGAUAGCCGCUCAUCGUUUACUGUGAGAAAAUUAGAGUGUUCAAAGCAGGCUUAUGCCGUUGAAUAUAUUAGCAUGGAAUAAUAAGAUAGGACCUCGGUACGAUUUUGUUGGUUUGAGAACCAAGGUAAUGAUGAAUAGGGACAGUUGGGGGUAUUCGUAUUCAGUUGUCAGAGGUGAAAUUCUUAGAUUUACGGAAGACGAACUACUGCGAAAGCAUUUACCAAGGAUGUUUGCA